ensembl:lncRNA
AUGCGAACAUGUCGCUGUUCUGCGCGCUCAGACCGGUCUGUCUGCCCUCGGGCUGCACGUCAGUUAUGGGAGAGUCAGGAACCUGUCGCCUGUCCAGGAUGCAGUCAGAGCGAACGGUGUGUGUACAUUACAACAGGUUUCUUCAUUAGCAUGCAAGCAGUCCCUCACAGAGGCGGAUUUACAAGAACUGAAGAUUAAGAACACCGUCACAAAAGCUAUGUCUGAUGUCUGCAUUUUAAACACAAAAUUGAACAUUUUAUUACUUGUUCUUAUGAAAAUGUGAGCAGUUGUGAUAUUUAAACUCCCUUUGACCAUGUCAGGACUGUUUAUCCCACACGCUGUCUUUUAAUACCGUAUACGUCACAAUGCCUGUGUCCUCCUUUAUUCUCAGCUCUCGCUCACCUGUACACAUCAUAAACCCAGGUUAGUCAUUUCCCACCUGCCCAUUUGCUUUUACCUGUUCUAAAAUGAAACCUGUGUUGUAAACCUGCCUCUCAUAACCCCACAAAACAUAUGCAAUUUCCUGCCAGAUGAAAGGAGACUUUAAAAACUUUUUAUUGGCAAAUAAGUCCCCCUCCACCCUGCCACUGAAAAUCUCCUUCACACAGAAAUCUCCACUUUAUUUAGUGGAGAGAGAAUGAAAACAGGCCAGUAUUUGCUCUCUGGCGCUGUAUCUCUGAUAAAUGUCACCUGUAUGCUCUCAUUCAUCCACAAUAGAGACUGGAAUAUUUGUGGUCGGGUGAAAUGAACGUGAAAAGCACACACACACACACACACACACACACACACACACACACACACACACACACACACACACACACACACACACACACAAGCUGGUGUAAAUGUUGACUGAGAGCGAUUGGAGGCAUGUAUUGUCAUAUGUGUGCGCCUCGGGAAACUCUUCAACUUUGCCUGUUUGUCUUUGGUCGUUUUUUUUUUUUUUCUGCCAGGAUCAAGGAAUAGAGAGAAACGUAUGACCACCCAAACACGGAAGUAACCAGGACACACCCGGAGUCAUAAACUGUGGCAAGGGGCCAAACCUUUGGAUCAUACACAGAUAGAGAAACAAUACCUGAAGCACAAUUCCUGGUAAAUGAGCAAUAGUACAAAAGGAAGGAGUAAUAAACACAACAGUGGAAGAUUGAAAGAAUGAUGGGUUUACUCCCCAUCUGACAUGGUUUACUAUAGUAAAAAACAAACCGUCCGGACGGUAAUCAAGGCUUUUAAGUGACCUAAAUACUGUUUCAGAUACACAGUUACACUAGCCGUAGAAACC